UGGGGAAUAUUGCACAAUGGGCGGAAGCCUGAUGCAGCGACGCCGCGUGGGGGAUGAAGGCCUUCGGGUUGUAAACUCCUUUCGACAGGGACGAAGCUUUUGUGACGGUACCUGUAUAAGAAGCACCGGCUAACUACGUGCCAGCAGCCGCGGUAAUACGUAGGGUGCGAGCGUUGUCCGGAAUUACUGGGCGUAAAGAGCUCGUAGGUGGUUUGUCGCGUCGUCUGUGAAAUUCCGGGGCUUAACUCCGGGCGUGCAGGCGAUACGGGUUGACUUGAGUGCUGUAGGGGAGACUGGAAUUCCUGGUGUAGCGGUGAAAUGCGCAGAUAUCAGGAGGAACACCGACGGCGAAGGCAGGUCUCUGGGCAGUAACUGACGCUGAGGAGCGAAAGCAUGGGUAGCGAACAGGAUUAGAUACCCUGGUAGUCCAUGCCGUAAACGGUGGGCGCUAGGUGUAGGGGGCUUCCACGUCUUCUGUGCCGUAGCUAACGCAUUAAGCGCCCCGCCUGGGGAGUACGGCCGCAAGCUA
rnacentral:rRNA from 1 species